AAGAAAGAAAGAAAGAAAGAAAGAAAGAAAGAAAGAAAGUCAGGGAAAGCAAAGCGUGCUCGGUCGGGGCUGUGGCUAGGUGAUGGCAGGUUUGGGGCCAGGAAUGUGGGACAUGGCAAACGGCUCCAUCCAUCCUGCAGCACUGCAGCAGCAGCCCCAGCACUGAUCCCACUGAAACAGCACCGCAGCCAGAAAUAGAGGAAAAAAGAGAGAAAAAGAAGGAGGCUAAAAAAAAAGAAAAAGAAAGAAAUUGAAAAAGCAGAAGGGAGAGAGGAGGAAAAAAGGAGAGAAUUUUCCUUUUCAGUGUGGCUGUCAAAUGGAUAUCUUCUAGUGGGAGGGCUGGGAGGGAACAGAUAUCUGCCUCUCUCCGGAGCCUGCAAGUAUUUCUGCCAUUCAUGAAGCCAAGGGAUGCCACACACAUUCUGUUUGUUCAACAUAAGCAAACAGAUUGUAAACUGGCUGAUAAUUUUUGUACUGACAAUGUCAUUUACAGCUGUCAGCCUUUUGUCUGUCAUGUUUGCUUUAUUCAAAUAUGAACCAAGUGGACCUCCCUUCCACCGCUUUCUUCUGCAUUAAAAUCACAUCAAUUCUGUUCCAUUCUGUCUUAUCUAAAAUUCAUUGGAGGCCAAUCACUUGGAUGAAUGCUUUGGGGUUUCCAUGGAGGCAAGAAGUCUAGUGUGGACUUCAGGGGAUUAGGAAGUUUCAGAUUUAAAGCCUUGAAGUGCACGUUUCUUUCAGUUCUUUCUUUUGAUUAUAGAGGAAGGGGAAGGGAAAAGAAAGAAAGAAAGAAAGAAAAAACUCGGGAAACUUCAAGAUAAUUUUAUUUUCUGAAAAUGCUCAGUGCUAAGAAACCCCCCCUCCUAGCAUCCGUGUGCUGCUGCCUGGGCGGGGGAGGCUCAGACCUGAUUUUUUGCUUAAUCACAAUUUGCAGCUGUGAUCUUUCCAGCUGAGCUAAAAGGAGAACGCUGCAUUGGCAUCUAUUCCCCCUCAGCGUCCUCAACAGGGCUCGUAUAAUAAAUUCAGGCCCGUCUUCAAUUAGAUUGAUUUGGAUCCAGCUGCUUCCCAUGGUGCUGCCCGCAGGUCUGGAAGCAUCUCCCUUUGUUAAUAGAGGUCAUGGCACUUUGUGUUAAAUAAUUCACGUCGGGCUAUCUGUCUGUCUGUCUGGCGGCAGCUGCAGAUGUUGCCAGUUUGCACUGGGUCCGAUCCCCACGGCUGAUAUUUGUAGACAGGAGUUAUUUCAUGUUGGUUGAACGAGUGCUCAGCUGGUGUAAAUCGGGACAAAUCUGUACGGAGGAGCUCUGACUUGUCCUGCUUUUAUCUCUGCCUCCCUGCCCAAACCAUCCGAACGACGCAGGGACGGCAAUGCACACCCAAAGCACCCCUCCUCACCACCAGUCCCUGGUCAGUGUGUGGAGGUCCUGGCCAGGAAGAGGAAAGCAUCUGGGGGCUUUUGUAGGGCUGAAGGUAUUUGGGAGGCUCGGCUGAAGGAUUUCCCUCCGCUAGUCAUCUGCUUCCACAAAGUACAUCUCAGUCAAAACUCAUAUCGCAGUGACCCUCCUCCCCGAUGCAGAUUGAGUGGGGAAUGUAAAUGCCAUCUCCAUCAAUCCAGCCUUCUCCUCUCCCCUACGCUGCCGCUGCGUAACCCCGCUUACGCUUCAGCUCCACGUUCGGUCAAUAAAGCCAACGCACGCCCACGGAUACACAACACGCAUUGACAAACAAACAAGCCCAAGCAAACAAGCAAACAAAAGCUAAUCAAGACAUUUCUCCCAGCGUCAGGGAAGGCGAGGAAGGACUGCUAUUGUUUGAUUUAUGAUUUUUGCUCUAAAGGACCGUUGAUCCGCUCAGCUGCCGGGUGCCGGGAUGGGGAUGGCGAUGGCAGCCCCAAAGGACUUCGGUGUCCCCUCUGGGAUUUCUCACCCUCAUGCAAAGAGGUGAUGCUUUCUGCCCUGGAUGGGGGCAGGAUGAGGUGUUCUGCUGAUGGACAGGGCUUGGUGUAGGGGGAUGUUAGGUAGAGGUGACAAUGAUGUCCUUGUAUGGCUCCUGGUGAAUCUGUGCAGCUCUCAGAUUCCAUCAAGGUCGCCCAACUGUUAGGCUUUGGGCCAGGUAAAGACUACUGGUAACAGCAGCCUGGAUUGUGUGGGGAUGUGUGCAUGGGGCCCCUGUGGACUGGGAAAGAGUCCUGGCAUCAUCCCAGCUCCAGCAAAGCAGGGGAGAAGGCUUUCUUGAACGAAUUUUGCUCACGUAUCAAACAUCUAAAUUUGGUUGCUAGAUUUUCUUUCUUUUUUUUUUCUUUUUUUUUCUUUUUUUUUUCUUUUUGUAUUUGAUGCUUUGUUUUGGGCAUUUUCAUUAUUUUCCUUUCUUCUUCUUUUGCUUUGCUUCUCUUCCUUUCCUCAGUUCCUCCAGCUAAGGAAACCUUUGGAAGUGACAGAGAUUGUUCUCUUGUAACCCUGGUGCAUUUAAACAUUUUCAAAUCCCAGUGAUGGAGUUGCUGAUGGGUUUUGUUCUCUUACUGCUCUGGCUCAUCUUCCUUUCAAGUUGGAGGCUUUUUCAAAAUUACAAAGGAAAAAAAAGAAAAGGAGAAAGUGGGAAGGAGCUUUCCCCCAUCAUUUGUCUUACUGCAUAUAAUAGCAGAAAACAAUGACGAGUGGACAAAGGAGGGAGACGAGAGGAAACUUUGCCUUUGUUUCAGUAAUGUCUCAUUUCAAUCUGAAACAAAACUGAACGUGUGUUUGUGUGUGUGUGUGUGUGUGUAUGUGUGUGUGAGCGCUUCUUUAUAAACUCUAACAAAACAUAACAGGAUGAAAAUAUCACCCCAAAUGGAAGCUAGAUUCGGAAAGGGCUUUAAGUGGCUAAACUGGCUUUAAAUGGCUAAACUGAGUAUAUCAUUUUGAAAACACUGAUGGAGGCAUUUCUCCAAGCAUGAACUGCUCUUUUCUAUCCUGAAAAAGCAGCAGAGCUGCAGGAAAAAAAUGAAACCCUGCUGCUAUGACAGCUCAAGACUUCUCUCACUGGGAAGCUGCAUCCCACAGAAAGAGGAAUGUUCCCAGCUCAUUUCCAACCUGUGAGCCCAGGUGCUGCCAGGCUGUCCACAUGCUGUGCAAUUGGGCAGAGGCAGAUCAAAACCACUCCUGACACUCUUCCAGCUCCUCCUCGACAGAUUGAAAGCCUAUCUCCACGUCAGGUCUCCUCCUCAGCAAAAACCUUGGCUUCUCUUCCAUGGCAGCUCAGCCUUGUGAGUAAUAAAUACCUCCAAACCUCUGAGAAAGCCAAUGGUGAAUGGAUGGAUGGAUGGAUGGAUGGAUGGAUGGAUGGAUGGAUGGAUGGAUGGAUGGCAGCCAACCGGGUCCUAAUGGCCGCGAGUGAUCCGACAAAGACUUAUCAAGUCAACCAAAAGAAAAUGAAGAUUCCUUUCUCUUUCUUUCUUUUUCUUAAAAAGAAACCAUAUGUACUUUCUUGUUGUUGUUGCCUUCCUUUCUUCUUUCUUUCUCUUCCAAACAAACCAGGGCGAAGCCCGCUGGGCUGCCACCUGGGCGGCGGGUUCAGCACAUGCGGCACAAAGCUCCCAUCCGCUCCUGGGAUAUUUACGACGUGUCCCCCAGUUGUCAUGUCAACCCAACAAGCGACUGCAGCACUAAAUCAAGCCAUCAGCAGGACAGAACAGAAACGCUAUGCAGAAUGCCUCCGAUGACUGACACGAAACAUGGCAUUUGUCAUUUCGCGAUGUUUUCUGUCUGUCCCUCUCUACGUUGGGGCCGGUCCUGUGGAAGAGGAAUGGGGUUGGGGGAGAAUACCAAUGAGAAGGCAAAGAUGACCUCCCUUUUAUGGAAAAAAAAAAAAAAAACAAAAAGCACACACAAAAAAAAAAAACCAGUGAGGAAAAAUGGUCUCUGGUUAGAGUAUCAGGUGGUGGUUCUCAUUGGGGUGGGGUUUUACUGUGUGCAUAGGCUCUCAGAAAUUCUGCAGCCACAUCAAUAGUGCCGCUGUCGGAGGUAUUUGCCUACAACCACCACUUCUUAACUCAAUUUGCCUCAGCAGUGAGCUCGUCUUCUCCCUCCUCCUUGCCCAGAGCAAUCCUCCGCCCUCGCGUUCAAAUUUAGCCAAGUGAGCAGGGCAGCAGUUAUGAAAGAGCACAUUUUUAUUGUAGCGAGUCCAUUUCCCUGAGGAAAUGGAGCAAAUAUGCUGAUUCGCACCGUGCCUGUCCAUCAGUCACUGUAAUAACUUUGGAGGCAGUAGGGCUCUCACGUCAAUUGCACUCCUUCAAGUUUUGUGCAAAUACAUUAGCUGGCGGCGGGAGGGAGGCACGGCUGCACCCACACUGGAGCGGGUGCGGGAGGGCCUGGGUGCCAGCCGCCGCAGCCGGCUCCAAAUCUUGGGCACUGGCCUUGUUUAGGAGUCAACAAAAGCCUUGUUUGGAGACCCAGAGCCAAACAAAACUCCGCAGUUUGCACUGAGCGCUGAUCACUCUUCAGUGGGAGAAAAAACUCUUGUGACCCAGUAUUUUGCCCGUCCUCACCUUGAAGCUUUUUUCAAUUUCUUUUUGCUCUCACUAUGGAAGAAAGUGCAGAAAACUGCAACCCACGGCACAAAAGCAUCCCCUAACCCUUGGCUCCAUUCCUGGCUGGGAGUAGCCUCUGGGGACGUGACUUCACCUCACAUAGCCCCAUGGAUGCAAGGGUGUGCAUUAUCCCAGCACCCACCCCAACGUCCAUCGCUGCAGUACCCAGUCCAUCCAUGAAGAAGCCAUUCUAUCCCUGAUAUACCAAGCCCAGCCCUGUGAUAUCCAUCCCUGCAGUCCCCAUCCCUGCAGUACCCAGCCCAUUUCUGCCGUGCCCAUCCCAUCCCCGUGGCACACAGCCUGUCCCCAUUGUAUCCCCAUCCCAAGGGCUAUGCCUGCAAGGCGCAACAGACCCUGACGCUCCAGGAAACCACAGGCUGAGGAAAAUGGUAGGGUUUCCUUGUCGGAUGAUCCAAAAUCAAAGCACUUCACUAGGAAAGCAAUGGAGGUAUGAAGGCUGUGAGUCCUGUAUCCUGGCGACAGAAGGAUGCUCUGGGCAGCAUCACCUGGUGCAGCAGUAGGAAUCCCUUCCCAUGCCAUGCAGGGUCACCGGGCUGUCAGCGGGGUCUUCUGCUAGCUCUGGAGCUCCUGGAUGCUGGUGGUGGUGGUGCUGCGCUCCUGCACCAGUACAGGCCAGGCAGAUCAGCACAGCGGGGCCACGCGGCGCCCGCACUAUAUGUACACUUGGUCAGGCUGUGUAAACUUUGACAUGUGGAUGUCAAUCUUUCUCAUAUUUGCAGAUGGCUUUAUCAGAGCGUGAUUAGUUUCUAGAACAAAUUUGAGCAAAAGAAAACAUUACCUACAGUAUGUAAGCCAACAGACCAGCUAGUUUUCAGAUUUGUCUAUUUACAUGGGCACUGGGUGUUUUGCUAAGGCUCUCUAAAAGUGAUGGUAAUUGAACAGUGCCAGUGUGUUAGUGGAAGCUGAUGAGUUGUAAAGGUUUUAUAAACAACCACGGUGGAUUUGGCUAUAGCCUUUCUAGUAAUGUUUGUUAAUCUCGCUGAGCGAGUGUGCACCUAACACAAUGUAAAUACUCCAGAAUUUGGAGGUGUCAAUAGUGUAACUUUUACUGUUUGUAAAAUCAUUCUCCGAUAUCAUCAGUAAGUUUACCAAAUGUCCCACGGCCAAAUAUAAUAAAAGCUUAAGUAAGCGUUCACGGAGGAAUAGGGGAAAACAUGUUUGCUAUUUUUAUUUCUGCCUCCUGUUUGUGAAAGGAUCGCAAAGAAAACAGGAAGCCAGCUAAUAAAUAUGGUCAUUCUGAUGUGUUUGGAGGUUUUCACGGGGCUUCCCGCUUCCUCGAUGGAGAAGGCAACAGAUUUGCACAAGGCUGGGCUCAGACCUGCUCCUGGUUCUGCGUGGGAAUGGGGCACCAGCCCAACACCGGCGCCAAAUCCCCAAGCAGCAUCGUGGCCCCAGGAAAGGAAUGCGCCGUGCCACAGACUGCAGAACACUGAAAUUUCAUCCAAAAUCCCAAUUUGCCACUAGAGGGCCCAAAAAUGGUACACGAUGUGCAGCUGAGGACCAGCAACCUGCUGCCGGGCUGUUUUUCCCUCUGGUUAAUAAAAAGGGUGUAAAGCCCAGCGCACGGCGAGACAGCAUCGAUGGCAGGGGGAGAUGAAGCAGCUGUGACAUUUAGAGGAGGAAUUUGUGAACCACAAAUAUGAGCAUGACUGACACAGCAUGGCAGCACAUAAAAUCAAUACAAAUAACCUAAACCUUAAUACCUUGAUCCCAGGGAAGAGCAUCGCAUUACCAGGGACUAUGAGGAGCAGCGGCCGUCUUGGCUCUGCCUGCUCGGUGCUAUCGAGCGGCUCCCGACGAGGCGUGGGGCCAAUAACAAUUAGGAUGCUCUUUAUGAGGAGGCUUUCCCUUCACUUCCCUGGAUCUUUGAGGGUGAAACGCGGCGUGUUUUGGUGAAGAGGAGAUGGAGUUUUUAUGAUCGACGGGGCUCGCUGCACCCGAGAAGUCACACACCUGUUAGGAG
ensembl:lncRNA